rnacentral:tRNA from 1 species
GCCUGGCUAGCUCAGUCCAGUAGAGCAUGAGACUCUUAAUCUCCAGGUCUUGAGUUUGAGCCCCAUGUUGGGCA